AUUGAACGCUGGCGGCAGGCCUAACACAUGCAAGUCGAGCGAGCGGCGGACGGGUGAGUAAUGUAUGGGGACUGCCCGAUAGAGGGGGAUAACUACUGGAAACGGUAGCUAAUACCGCAUACUAUCGGAUAACCCAUAUGGGAUUAGCUAGUAGGUGAGGUAAUGGCUAACCUAGGCGACGAUCCCUAGCUGGUCUGAGAGGAUGAUCAGCCACACUGUGACUGAGACACGGCCCAGACGCCCAGGGAGGAAGCAGGGGGGAAUAUUGCACAAUGGGCGCAAGCCUGAUGCAGCCAUGCCGCGUGUAUUAAGAAGGCCCUAGGGUUGUAAAGUACUUUCAGUCGGGAGGCGUUACCGACAGAAGAAGCACCGGCUAACUCCGUGCCAGCAGCCGCGGUAAUAC
rnacentral:rRNA from 1 species